GACGAACGCUGGCGGCGUGCUUAACACAUGCAAGUCGAACGGAAAGGCCCUGCUUUUGUGGGGUGCUCGAGUGGCGAACGGGUGCGUAACACGUGAGUAACUUGCCCUUGACUUUGGGAUAACUUCAGGAAACUGGGGCUAAUAUCGGAUAGGAGCUCCUGUUGCAUGGUGGGGGUUGGAAAGUUUCGGCGGUUGGGGAUGGACUCGCGGCUUAUCAGCUUGUUGGUGGGGUAGUGGCUUACCAAGGCUUUGACGGGUAGCCGGCCUGAGAGGGUGACCGGCCACAUUGGGACUGAGAUACGGCCCAGACUCCAACGGGAGGCAGCAGUGGGGAAUAUUGCACAAUGGGCGGAAGCCUGAUGCAGCAACGCCGCGGGCGGGAUGACGGCCUUCGGGUUGUGAACCGCUUUCGCCUGUGACGAAGCGUGAGUGACGGUAAUGGGUAAAGAAGCACCGGCUAACUACGUG
rnacentral:rRNA from 1 species